rnacentral:lncRNA from 1 species
GGCCUUUAUCAGCCUUCAGUCUUCCUCCUCACCCAGUGCCAUACUAUCCCAUGCGAGGCAGCUUUCUCUCCGGGCCAGAAUGGCUGUAACUCCGUUCUCUGUUCAUCCGUUCAGCAGAUACUCACCGAAGUCUACCAUCACCGAGACUACCCUAGUCAGAGGAACGAACAAGACAGGGUCGAUCCCAUCUUCAUGCAGCCUGCCUUCUCACAGGGAGAGUGCAGGUGAUGGUGCCGAGGGCUGAACCUGAUUAUCCAGGUCCAUCUCCUGUCUCAGACUGUUGACAUCACCGUGCCCACCAGCUCUUUUUGCCAUGCAAGGUUACAGGGACCAGAGGGAGAGCACCUUUCAAUGUCUUCCUUGUUUUUUCCUUUCCACUGAACGCUUC